rnacentral:tRNA from 1 species
UGGGGGUUCGUCUAGCUGGCAGGACAGCAGACUCUGGAUCUGUAUGGAGGGGUUCGAAUCCCUUACCCCCAG